rnacentral:rRNA from 1 species
GACGAACGCUGGCGGCGUGCUUAACACAUGCAAGUCGAACGGAGAGGCCCUGCUUGCAGGGUACUCGAGUGGCGAACGGGUGAGUAACACUUGGGUGAUCUGCCCUGCACUUCGGGAUAAGCUUGGGAAACUGGGUCUAAUACCGGUUAGGACCGCACUUUAGUGUGUGUGGUGGAAAGUUUUUUCGGUGUAGGAUGAGCUCGCGGCCUAUCAGCUUGUUGGGGGGGUAAUGGCCUACUAAGGCGGGGCCGGGUAGCCGGCCUGAGAGGGUGUACGGCCACAUUGGGACUGCGAGACGGCCCAGACUCCUACGGGAGGCAGAAGGGGGGAAUAUUGCACAAUGGGCGCGAGCCGGAUGCAGGGACGCCGCGUGGGGGAUGAAGGUCUUCGGGUUGUAAGCUCCGUUCGCUAGGGACGAAGCUUUUUGUGACGGUACCUAGAUAAGAAGCACCGGCUAACUACGUG